CUGCGGGCCGCUCCAGCGGGGAAUAUUGCACAAUGGGGGAAACCCUGAUGCAGCAACGCCGCGUGGAGGAUGACGCAUUUCGGUGUGUAAACUCCUUUUAUAUAGGAAGAUAAUGACGGUACUAUAUGAAUAAGCACCGGCUAACUCCGUGCCAGCAGCCGCGGUAAUACGGAGGGUGCAAGCGUUACUCGGAAUCACUGGGCGUAAAGCGCGCGCAGGCGGCCUUUUAAGUUGGAUGUGAAAGCCUAUGGCUUAACCAUAGAACUGCAUCCAAAACUAUCAGGCUAGAGUCUGGGAGGGGAAGAUGGAAUUAGUUGUGUAGGGGUAAAAUCCGUAGAGAUAACUAGGAAUACCCAAAGCGAAGGCGAUCUUCUGGAACAGUACUGACGCUGAGGCGCGAAAGCGUGGGGAGCAAACAGGAUUAGAUACCCCAGUAGUC
rnacentral:rRNA from 1 species